CGUGGUGAGUAACGCGUAAGGAACCUGCCUUUUAGAGGGGAAUAACAAUGAGAAAUCAUUGCUAAUACCGCAUAUGCCAUAGUUAUCACAUGAUAACAGUGGGAAAGGAGCAAUUCGCUAAAAGAUGGCCUUGCGUCUGAUUAGAUAGUUGGUAAGGUAACGGCUUACCAAGUCGACGAUCAGUAGCCGGACUGAGAGGUUGAACGGCCACAUUGGGACUGAGAUACGGCCCAGACUCCUACGGGAGGCAGCAG
rnacentral:rRNA from 1 species